UAGUGAGUGCUAUAGAAUUAGGGUGAGAAGAGCAAAACAAAAUUGCCAAGAACCCUAAUUGAUUGAUUGAUUCAUUUUCAUUCCAAUGGCGUCCGAAGAGGUGGAGUCUCACUCCUAGACAGACCUAGCAACAACUCAAGCUCCGUCCUCGUGAAGAUCUCUCGCUCCUCCAUCGUCACCCGCAGCAAGGAAGCCGCCGGUGACGCCGCAUUCGUUGCCAAGAAGCUCCUCCGCAGCACCGGCAAGGCCACGUGUAUUCCUUUUGCCUCUUUGUUUCCUUGUUAUUUAGGAUGGGAUUUUCCUACCAUAUGAGAAUGUGCUCAACUAUGACAGCUUUGCUGUUCGAAUACCUGAAGCGGAAAUUCCGAACUUGAUAAAGACCCUUCGGGGAUUCAAUGAUACAAAAAUUGAAUUCAAGCUGGCAAAUGUUCAGAAAAUAUGGCAAAGAUUCUUGUAUCGUGAUUCUGUUUUGCUUGAAGCUGAAAGGCGAAAAACUGCUAUUGGACAUGUUGAUGAUUGGGCUGUUGAAUUCUUAAAGCUGACAGAGGAUGAUGCCUUUGCCACUUUAAUACAGAUUUUGCAUUACAAAUUACAUAAUGACCGUUGGAGGAAACAAGUUCGCCACAAUAAACAGUUUGGAUUACCUCACCAGUGUCUGGAAAUUUGUGAAUCAGGUGGUGGCUGGUUACCUGCCAAGUGUGAUAUUGGUUUUAUUUUUGUGCACAGUUCCACAUGUGAUGAUUCUAUUUUCUUUUGUGGAGGGUUCUAUUUCCCGUAGUGAAAGUAAGAAGAGUGCAUGUUUUAAAGUCUUGUACUUCACAAUCUGGAACGUGUUUUUUGUUAAUGUAUUUAUUGGUUCUGUAAUCAGUCAGCUCUCAGUCUUUUCUAGCGUAACAGAUCUGUCUGCCCAGCUUGCCAAGGCAGUGCCAGUGCAAGUGAUGCAUCUUAAUUCCUACAAGAAUAGCGUGAAUUUUGAAUUCUUACCCUUUAUUUAGAUUUAUUCUUUGGAUAUGACAUGUUAUGGAGUAUUGUUGUGUUGUAUUGUUGAAAUGAUUUUUUAUGCACUUGGAUGUAUGCAGGCUACUUUCUUUACAACUUACAUUCUAUCAUCUGGUUAGGCAAGUUUGGCAGUUGAAGUUAUGCAAAUUUUCCCUCUACUAUGCAAUCUUUUCUAGAGAUUCAUACUCAGGCUUAAGGAAGAUGCACUGGAUGGCAACCUAUCUUUUCCGUACCAUACAGAAGUUCCAAGAAUCUUACUGUUUGGAUUCCUUGGGUUCACUUGUGCUAUUCUGGCACCCUUAAUGUUGCCCUUCUUGUUGAUCUACUUUUUCAUUGCUUACCUUGUUUAUUGAAACCAGAGAAACACUUAUUUGGAGAUGCUACUAGAUAUACAGAACAGGCAAUUGAUGUUCAAUUUUGAAUUGCAGAAAACGUUUGGUCUGGAUGGUGCUCGUGUUUUUGAUAUGGACAUUUCAAAUCAAAUUUUAUUAAUUGCACAAAAGCGAAAGCAAUAGGUGGAAUGCACUUGUUAACUAAAGUAAGAUUCUUCAAUUUGAAGUAUUUAUGUGUAUAUGUAUGUGGCUUUAGCAUAUCUUAACUCUUAUACAAUGAAGGAUUUCAAUUUAACCUUUAUGGGUGUGGCGUCCCUAAAUAAUGACUGGUUUAAUAGUAAUAAAUUAAAUGGCAGAAAUCAUGAGAUUUUUUUUUCGCACUGUUAUUUAUUUCACGGUAAUUAAUUUCAGAAGGAAAAUUAUCACUAUAGAGUCCUGAGUGGCCAGUUCACAACUCUAUUCGGAUUCAUUUUUUUCUGAUCACUUAUAACUUCCAAACUAUUUUUCUUUUUCAGAAAAAAAUACCAGCCAUCAUUUUGGGUCGUCAUGUGAGAAAUAAUAAGGUGUUGAGGGAAGGAGCCCAGAG